GCCGAUGUGGCGGAACUGGCAGACGCGCUGGACUCAAAAUCCAGUUUCCUUCACCGGAAGUGUGGGUUCGAUCCCCUCCAUCGGCA
rnacentral:tRNA from 1 species